rnacentral:rRNA from 1 species
AGCAUGUGGUUUAAUUCGAAGCAACGCGAAGAACCUUACCUAGACUUGACAUCUCCUGAAUUACCUUUAAUCGGGGAAGUCCCUUCGGGGACAGGAAGACAGGUGGUGCAUGGUUGUCGUCAGCUCGUGUCGUGAGAUGUUGGGUUAAGUCCCGCAACGAGCGCAACCCUUAUUGUUAGUUGCUACCAUUUAGUUGAGCACUCUAGCGAGACUGCCCGGGUUAACCGGGAGGAAGGUGGGGAUGACGUCAAAUCAUCAUGCCCCUUAUGUCUAGGGCUACACACGUGCUACAAUGGCCGGUACAAAGAGACGCAAUACCGCGAGGUGGAGCCAAACUAUAAAACCGGUCUCAGUUCGGAUUGUAGGCUGAAACUCGCCUACAUGAAGCUGGAGUUGCUAGUAAUCGCGAAUCAGAAUGUCGCGGUGAAUACGUCCCCGGGCCUUGUACACACCGCCCGUCACACCACGAGAGUUGGCAAUACCCAAAGUUGGUGAUCUAACCCGCAAGGGAGGAAGCCACCUAAGGUAGGGUCAGCGAUUGGGGUGAAGU